rnacentral:rRNA from 1 species
GAUGAACGCUAGCGGCAGGCCUAAUACAUGCAAGUCGAACGAGAUUAAGAGGCUUGCUUCUUAUGAAAGUGGCGCACGGGUGCGUAACGCGUAUGCAACCUACCUUAAUCAGGGGGAUAGCCCGAAGAAAUUCGGAUUAAGACCGCAUAAAAACACAGGAUAGCAUUAUCCAAUGUUCAAAUAUUUAUAGGAUUAAGAUGGGCAUGCGUGUCAUUAGCUAGUUGGCGGGGUAACGGCCCACCAAGGCGACGAUGACUAGGGGAUCUGAGAGGAUGACCCCCCACACUGGUACUGAGACACGGACCAGACUCCUACGGGAGGCAGCAGUAAGGAAUAUUGGUCAAUGGAGGGAACUCUGAACCAGCCAUGCCGCGUGCAGGAAGACAGCCCUCUGGGUCGUAAACUGCUUUUAUUCGGGAAUAAACCUUUCCACGUGUAGGAAGCUGAAUGUACCGAAGGAAUAAGGAUCGGCUAACUCCGUG